rnacentral:tRNA from 1 species
GCCCCGGUAGCUCAGCUAGGCAGAGCACCCGGCUGUUAACCGGGUGGUCCCAGGUUCGAGACCUGGCCGGGGCG